AACAGCAGCUAGGUCUAGA
rnacentral:snRNA from 1 species